rnacentral:tRNA from 1 species
GAAGUCCCGGAGAUCUUUGGAUCUCCUCUCCAAGUUUGCAACUUGGUGUGUUAACACCUCGGAACU